UGCUAAUAUUCCGUCGUCUUAGGUCGCACCCUUCGGAUGGAGGAAGCCCAGUUCUGAGAGUAGUGGAGGUUGGUCCAUUAGAUGCAUCAGGUGGCUCCGAGGAAGAUUGCGAUCAAAUUCCAAGACAGGGCACUCAAUAUCGUCGUAGCACUCGUCGUUUCAGUCGGACGAGGACUCGUGGUUCCAAGAAUAGCGGGGUUGACUCCGGUAGAAGCGCCAGAUGGCUCUGAGGAAAGUUGCGGUCAAUUUCGAAGAUAAAGCUCUCGAUCCGGAGAUACGAGAGAUAAGUUCGAGAUCGAGACCGAAGCCUAAGCCGAAGAUGAAGGGAGGAGCAGUUGUCCAGGAAGGAUCCAUCUAAAGGUUUCGCUAAUCAAGCUAUUGAACCGGAGAUUUAAAGCCAAACUGCGAAGUAGAAGGCACGGAUCACUGAAUCGAGAGAAUCAGAUUGUCAAUCGGGACAAGCAAGCCCUAAAUCGAGAUCAAAAUCUUCAUAAGAAAGAAGGUUUCACAGGAGAUAUCGGUUAUGAAAUUCGUGAAGCAACUGGAGUCGAAAUUGAGAGCUUAAAGAAGGGAGCAGUUGACGCAGGUGUCUUUUGUUAUGAUAUUUUGGAAGUCAUUCCCAUAACAAUUAACAAGUACAGAGCAGGCCUCAAAUGAGAUCCUUACAUCGAUCAUAUGUUGUCAUUCCUUCUAUCAUUUUGCUGAAAGAAAGACUGGUUUCUUCUACGCAGUUUGAUUGAUUAUUGCUAGAUCUAGUGAAAGUCCCAUAAAAGGAUAUAUGUGUAUCAUUGAGGACGCCGUUACUUCUCUCGUUUGUCUGAAGUGUGGACACACCAUUUCACUUCCAUAUAAAAAAUUUUGGCAAGUUCUGUAUAUCGAGGAUGGCGAUCCACUGCUUUAAAGUAAGUGUAGUUCUGAUCUCCUUGAGUUGCUCACUAGACUAGAAUGCUAUUUGCUUUACAGUAUGCCUGCUUGCAGGUUGCUUGAGAUGGGUUUACUUACUUGCUACUACUCUUUGAUAUUGACAUGUCCUGAGUCAGAGUUUGCUGUUAUGUUGCACCUUGUGAGCGACAGUUGCAGCAAGAAAUUUCACUUAGGCUAGACAAGCAGGUAAUUUUCAAUGUUUUUCCAGUGAAAAAGUGUUUGCCGUAAUGGCAUGGAAAACAAUUUGUUUGUGCAUGAUUUCCUUCUUUUGCCAUAACCUUUCCAUAGAUCACUCUAUUUGUUGUUGCAAACUAGUUGUUUGUACUUGCUCCGUUGGCUUUUCUGUCGAUGCAACAUCAUAGAUUACUCAAUGUGGCUUUCUAGUCCAGAGUGAAGGUUAGAUUUUAGAUUCCUUCUGAUUCUAUUAGUGAAGUGAUGCAAAGUGGACCUAUGCUCACCACAUGACUGUUCGCAGGUUUGUGAUGCAGGUCCUGCAUCCAAAUUCCAAUUGAAGUAAUGGUAUUGGUAUGACAACAAUAGACUUAGCUAUGAAUCCAAAAUCUAGAAAGAUGGAACAUCUCUGUGUCUGCAUAGAUCUUCGAGGUGAUAAAGAGUUGCUGGCUUGAUUUCAUGUUGUACCUCUUUAUCUAAUCAUCUAUUUUUUUCUGGCAUGUUUGGACUUUUCUUUGGGUCCUAUUUUAUUUGCGUCAAUGCAAUUGGACCCACAACUCAUUUUUUAUUAUUUAGGUGUCUUAUGGUUUCAA